GAUGAACGCUGACAGAAUGCUUAACACAUGCAAGUCUACUUGAUCCUUCGGGUGAUGGUGGCGGACGGGUGAGUAACGCGUAAAGAACUUGCCUUGCAGUCUGGGACAACGUUUGGAAACGAACGCUAAUACCGCAUAACAUAGCGAGACCGCAUGAUCUUGCUAUCAAAGAUUUUAUCGGUGAAAGAUGGACUCGCGUCCGAUUAGGUAGUUGGUGAGGUAACGGCCCACCAAGCCGACGAUCGGUAGCCGGACUGAGAGGUUGAACGGCCACAUUGGGACUGAGACACGGCCCAG
rnacentral:rRNA from 1 species